rnacentral:lncRNA from 1 species
UCUCUGUUGCAAUUUCUGAUGAUUCUUGGCUACUGAAAGUCCCUCGAGCAUGUGCGUACAGAAAUACGUGGUAUGGAUCCAUCUUUUCUUGGACUGGUUACAACUGAUUCAAAACAAAGCAAGCCUACAUAAACCCUUUUCUUUCUCUACAGAGAAGAUCAAAAGAAGAUUUUAACAAAUAAAAAUAAUAAAUGACCUUUUCUUUCUCUACAGAGAAGAUCAAAAGAAGAUUUAAAAAAACAAAGGAAGAAUAUGAUUAAGUUAAGCUUACUGUCACAAAUCUUCUGGUUGGGUGGGCACUGCUGUUGAAACUCGAAACUUAAACUUGAGCAAGAGGUUAGGUGAGUGUUUGGAGAGAAAGAAUUAUAAAGAAACUGAAAACCCUUUCCCUUUUAU